rnacentral:misc_RNA from 1 species
AAGUCGUAACAAGGUUUCCGUAGGUGAACCUGCGGAAGGAUCAUUACCAAGUUUAAUCCAAAACACUCAACCCAUGUGAACCAUGAAAUGUCUGUCUUUGGGGUGGAAGAGUAUCUAGGCGCAAGUCUGGUGAAUUUCACCCCACAUGUGUAAACAUCCUUUUUAUUUUGUAUUGGCAUCUACUUGUCUUAAUUAAAUAUUAGACAACUUUUAACGGUGGAUCUCUUGGCUCGUG